CACAUUCAUUCACCACUCACUCAUUGAUUUACCCAGAGCAACUUCUACUCUCGCAAGCUCCAUUCAUGAAUUUGUGAAGGAGACAACUGUUGUUUCGUCUGUAUUAUAGAAGACGAGCAAAGUCACAGAAAUCGUCUUGAGUCACAUAGGAGAGAAAAGGGGUUGGGGACAAGACACUGGUCUCAUCCACUGGGCCAGAGAGACAAGAGAAGAAAUGGCCUUCGCCAUCUAGGAGAGAACGGGGCUUGGAGGUAAGACACUGGUCUCACCCACUGGGCCAGAGAGACAA